rnacentral:sRNA from 1 species
UAUGUUUGUUCCUAGUGUUCACAUUGUG